UGGGGAAUAUUGCACAAUGGGCGCAAGCCUGAUGCAGCCAUGCCGCGUGUGUGAAGAAGGCCUUCGGGUUGUAAAGCACUUUCAGCGAGGAGGAAGGUGGUGAGCUUAAUGCGCUCAUCAAUUGACGUUACUCGCAGAAGAAGCACCGGCUAACUCCGUGCCAGCAGCCGCGGUAAUACGGAGGGUGCAAGCGUUAAUCGGAAUUACUGGGCGUAAAGCGCACGCAGGCGGUUUGUUAAGUCAGAUGUGAAAUCCCCGGGCUCAACCUGGGAACUGCAUUUGAAACUGGCAAGCUAGAGUCUCGUAGAGGGGGGUAGAAUUCCAGGUGUAGCGGUGAAAUGCGUAGAGAUCUGGAGGAAUACCGGUGGCGAAGGCGGCCCCCUGGACGAAGACUGACGCUCAGGUGCGAAAGCGUGGGGAGCAAACAGGAUUAGAUACCCCUGGUAGUCCAGCGCUGUAAAACGAUGUCGAUUUUGGAGGUUGUGCCCUUGAGGCGUGGCUUCCGGAGCUAACGCGUUAAAUCGACCGCCUGGGGAGUACGGCCGCAAGGUUAAAACUCAAAUGAAUUG
rnacentral:rRNA from 1 species